CAGCCCCAAGCAUCCAGUACCGUGCGUCGAACCUGGACUGGCGACUCGUUUCAUACAUGAUAUUAUACAUGUUUCAAUGCUAUUCUCCCAAAUCUCCCCAUCCUCUCCCUCUCCCACAGAGUCUGUAAGACUGAUCUAUACAUCGGUGUCUCUUUUGCUAUCUCGUACACAGGGUUAUUGUUACCAUCUUUCUAAAUUCCAUAUAUAUGCGUUAGUAUACUGUAUUGGUGUUUUUCUUUCUGGCUUACUUCACUCUGUAUAAUAGGUUCCAGUUUCAUCCAUCUCAUUAGAACUGAUUCAAACGUAUUCUUUUUAAUGGCUGAGUAAUACUCCAUUGUGUAUAUGUACCACAGCUUUCUUAUCCAUUCAUCUGCUGAUGGGCAUCUAGCUUAUAUAAACAGUGCUGCGAUGAACAUUGGGGUACACGUGUCUCUUUCCCUUCUGGUUUCCUCAGUGUGUAUGCCCAGCAGUGGGAUUGCUGUGAUCCUAGCUUUUUGAAUGUUGAGUUUUAAGCCAGCUUUUCGACUCUCCUCUUUCACCUUCAUUAAAAAGCUCUUUAGUUCCUCUUUGCUUUCUACCAUAAGGGUGGUGUCAUCUGCACAUCUGAGGUUAUUGAUAUUUCUCCCAGCAAUUUUGAUUCCAGCUUCUGCUUCAUACAGCCUGGCAUUUUGCAUGAUGUACUUUGCAUAUAAGCUAAAUAAUCAGGGUGACACUGUACAGCCUUGACGUACUCCUUUCCCAGUUUGGAACCAGUCUGUUGUUCCAUGUCUGGAUCUGACUGUUGCUUCUUGACCUGCAUAUAGAUUUUUCAGGAGGCAGGUAAGAUGGGCUGGUAUUUUCAUCUCUUGAAGAAUUUUCCACAAUUUGUUGUGAUCCAUACAGUCAAAGGCUUUGGCAUCGUCAAUAAAGCAGAAAUAUAUGUUUUUUUGGAAUUCUCUUGCUUUUUCUAUGAUCUCUGGUUCCUCUGCCUUUUCUAAAUCCAGUUUGUACAUCUGGAAGUUCUCGGUUUAUGUUCUGUUGAAACCUAGCUUGGAGAAUUUUGAGCAUUACUUUGCUAGUGUGUGAAAUGAGUGCAAUUGUGCGAUACUUUGAACAUUCUUUGGCAUUGCCUUUUUUUGGGAUUGGAACAAAAACUGACCUUUUCCACUCCUGUGGCCACUGCUAAGUUUUCCAAGUUUGCUGGCAUAUUGAAUAUAGCACUUUAACAGCAUCAUUUUUAGGAUUUGAAAUAGCUCAGCUGGAAUUCCAUCACCUCCACUCUCUUUGUUCAUAGUGAUGCUUCCUAAGGCCCAGUUGACUUGGCAUUCCAGGAUGUCUGGCUCUAGGUGGGUGAUCACACCAUCUGGGUCAUUACGAUCUCUUCUGUAUAGUUCUUCUGUGUAUUCUUGCCACCUCUUGUUAAUAUCUUCUGCUUCUCUUAGGUCCAUACCAUUUCUGUUCUUUAUUGUGCCCAUCUUUGCAUGAAAUGUUCCCUUGGUAUCUCUAAUUUUCCUGAAGAGGUCUCUAGUCUUUCCUAUUAUAUUGUUUUCCUGUAUUUCUUUGUAUUAAUCACUUAGGAAGGCUUUCUUAUCUCUCCUUGUUAUUCUUCGGAACUCUGCAUUCAGAUGGGUAUAACUUUCCUUUUCUCCUUUGCCUUUUGCCUCUCUUCUUUUCUCAGCUAUUUGUAACCCCCUCUCAGACAACCAUUUUUCCCUUUUGCAUUUAUUUUUUCUUGGGGAUGAUCACAGCCUCCUGUACAAUGUUGCAAACCUCCAUCCACAGUUCUUCAAGCACUCUGUCUAUCAGAUCUAAUCCCUUGAAUCUAUUUGUCACUUCUACUGUAUAAUCUGGCGUGCUGUGAUUCAUGGGGUCGCAAAGAGUCAGAUACGACUGAGCCACUGAACUGAACUGAACUGUAUAAUCAUAAGGGAUUUGACUUAGGUCAUACCUGAAUGGUCUAGUGGUUUUCCCUGCUUUCUUCAAUUUAAGUCUGAAUUUUUCAAUAAGGAGUUCACGAUCUGAGCCACAGUCAGCUUCUGGUCUUGUUUUUGCUGACUAUAUAGAGCUUCUCCAUCUUCGGCUGCAAAGAAUAUAAUCAAUCUGAUUUCGGUAUUGACCAUCCGGUGAUGUCCAUAUGUAGAGUCUUCUCUUGUGUUGUUGGAAGAGGGUGUUUGCUAUGACCAGUGUGUUCUCUUGGCAAAACUCUGUUAGCCAUUGCCCUGCUUCAUUUUGUACUCCACGGUCAAACCUGUCUACUGCCUGACUUCCUACUUUUGCAUUCCAGUUCCCUAUUAUGAAAAAUACAUCUUUUUUUGGUGUUAGUUCUAGAAUAUGAACUAGAACCUGUGCCUUGAGAGCAAGCUUUUCUGUCUGCUGCCUGGUUUUCUUAAUUCCCAGCUCCACCAAGUGGGUCAGCUCCUGUUAUCCCCACUGGCACAGAUGAGGAAACUGAGGUCUCCACGGGUUCCACAACUUGCCCAAGGUCAUGAGUAGGGUCGAACUUGUUCCCUGAUCCACGGGCUGGCAGGUCGUCGCCCAGGCACCUCGGUGUUGACAAGCGCUUUCCUUUGAAUCCCUGAGCACCUGGAGAGCCUGGCAUGGCAGGAUGCUGCUGCCCUCUCGUGGCCAUUAGGAUCUCUGCAGUGAAAAAGUGAAAAAGGAAAAUGAGUUUUUCUUUUCUUUCCUAAGAACAAAGAAGAAGGAACAGUGAGCAGGCCUGAUCACUGCUAGCUUUUACUUGGGUGUGUGCCCAAUGGCUCAGUUGUGUCCGACUCUUUGUGACCCCGUGGACUGUAGCCCGCCAGGCUCCUCUGUCCAUGGGACUCUCCAGGCAAGUAUACUGGAGUGGGUUCCACGCCUCCUCCAACUAUCCUUUGACUCCAUGCUAAUUACAACUUUACAGAACUCUCUUUGCAGACCCUCCCUUGUAGUUUUUCUCUUUUUGCCUUAUAGAAAGAAGGCCUCAGCACAAAAGACAAUAAUGCACCCAACUACCCAACUGCCUGACCCCAUUACUGGGCUACCUGACACCAGCCUGUGACCGCUUUUGAAAGAGCGCUAGAGGAAGGAUGCAACAUCCUGAAACCUCUGUUCCUCAUCACCAACCCCUGACUGUGAGCCUGCAUCUAUAUAAUCCCCCCAGAUUCCUCGUGGAAAAGGGGCACCGUUCUUAAGGCACAAACCUCCUGUGCUCUCCCUUCUGCCACCUGAGGAUCACAGCCACCUUUCUAUUUCUUCCAAACUGUCUCCAUGGUUUUUUUUUCCUUACUUGGUUUUUGUGGGCACAAAGAAAGCCAAGGUUUUGGUAGCAUCAGAGAGGAGAAAUAACAAAAGCCUGCAGCUCCAUCCUUUAUUCCCUGAGGGAUCUCAGUCAAGUCACCUAACCAGCCAGGCCUCAGUUUUCGCAUCUAUAGAAUGGGCAUAAUCCCUCUUCAGGUAGGAGGAUUUCUUGAGCAGGCAGGUGCUCCUGGAGAACCAGACCCUGGACUGGGGAAGACUCACCGGUAGCCCCCUCGUCACCCCCCUCACCCCACCCCCACCCCAGAGAAAGCAGCGGGCAGCCCGCGGAGGGUACACCACGUCCUUGCCGGGAGUAAACACUCUCGGUGCAAAGUCUGCAGCGUUUGUUGACUGGGCGGUGGGGGCUGCUCAUCAAAGGCGGCCCAGCGCCCUGCGGGCCAUUGCGGGCGGUGAGCUUUGGUCGGAGGCUCGUUGAUAAGCAGGGAGGACGUGUGAUCCCGGCCCGGGAGGGGCUCGGGCAGGAGGCGCCUCCCCCGCGGUCCGCUCCCGGAGCACCGGCUGCCCCGGUGCUGCCCAGGGACAAGGCCGACAGGCCGGCUCUGCCUCGCCGCCGCCUGAGGGAGGGUCUGUGUCCUCGCUGAGCCCAGCGCCCCCGCACGGGUCUCUCCAGGCUCAGCACCAGCCCCGGGUAUCCAGGGGAUCUGCGCGGGGAGGGGGUGGGGGUGUAGGUAGGUGCGGGGGCGGGGCGGGGAGGGAGAUAACCCUCGGCCACUCCCCCCAGAGCCUGGGGGCUGGUGCUGCUUCUAAGACCCCAGGGGCAGAAGGCGGGGCCUUCAGGGAACCCAGGAUUCAAGAACCCUUCCAGGCACCCUCCUCCACCGCGGAGGCGGAAGGUGGCUUCCUUCUAGAAUCUGCGAUCACAGCUUCUGGGGACCGCCAGAUCCCCGCCCCGCAAGUCUGAGCGUCAGAAUAUAAACCCUAGGGGACAGAGACAUUCUGCCUGAGCACCAGCUUUGUAAAGUUGUCACAAAUACAUGAAGAAUGCCUGUAUCCAUGGGCGGGGCUGUUCUGGUGAGUUGUCCAUCCUUGUCUCAGCACC
ensembl:lncRNA